rnacentral:rRNA from 1 species
CGGAGGGUGCGAGCGUUGUCCGGAAUCACUGGGCGUAAAGGGCGCGUAGGCGGCAUGCCAAGCGUGUGGUGAAAGCCCGGGGCUCAACCCCGGGUCGGCCGUGCGGACUGGCGUGCUUGAGCACUGUAGGGGCGGGUGGAAUUCCGGGUGUAGCGGUGGAAUGCGUAGAGAUCCGGAAGAACACCGGUGGCGAAGGCGGCCCGCUGGGCAGGAAGACCCCGCAAGGGGUCGGCUGACGCUGAGGCGCGACAGCGUGGGGAGCAAACAGGAUUAGAUACCCUGGUAGUCCACGCCGUAAACGAUGGGCACUAGGUGCCUGGGGGAGCGACCCUCCGGGUGCCGGCGCUAACGCAUUAAGUGCCCCGCCUGGGGAGUACGGCCGCAAGGCUG